AUGAGAGACAAUGUACCACAUGAGAUACCGGCUCAGACGUCGCCCGGUCUAAUAAGGUCUGCGUCAGGUGUUGGGGAACCAGAGCACCUUGGCGAGAAGUGGGCUACUGGAACAAGAAAGAAAUGGCUGAGAUGCGAGAACAAGGCUCUGUUGGAAUGCUACUACUCAAAUAACCCUAGUCAGAGGGGCUACAUGCAAAGAAUGUUUGGUGAAUGGGAACGGAGAAACCCACAUUCAAGGCUGACGGCGAAGCAACUAGUAGCUCAGUGUUCCAACAUCCACAAACGGCAACUGCUAUCACAACUUGAGAUUGACGAGAUACAACACAAAUGCUACGGCAAGGGGGAGCCAGGACGCCAGGCCAGAGGGGAGGUUUCACCAUCUCCCCAACCGGAAAUUGGGUACGAAGCCCCAAUAAGCACAGAUACGCUGAGCGAGGCAGCGACUGACCUGAAAGAUAAGAUCAUGGCGAGAUUGAACAGGCAACCCCGAACCCCACUACAACGGCUAAGUGAAGUACCAUCAGAAAGUCUCAUGGAAGAUGUGAAUGCAGCAUUGAGAGCGAUCCCUACCACAACAAUCACAGAAACCAAUGAGCUGAUAUACGCUUCAGCAUCAGUGAUCCUAGAGGUGCUUGGCUAUAAGAGCAACCAUGGGAGCCAUGAGAAACAAUACCCACCAUGGAAACGAAGGUUGGAGGCAAAAAUCAGGGCAGCUCGGAGGGAAGUGAGCCAAAUGACAGAGGCCCAGAGAGGUGCAAUGAAAAGACCGAUGCCCAAGAGGUACAGCCAUAUGCCCAUACCUGAAGCACUCGAAACUGCCAAGCAAAGGCUACAAGCCUUGGCCAGCCGCCUAAAGAGAUACACCAGAGAUAACGAAGCCAGACGAAUAAACCGGCUGUUCGCAACACAACCUGCGAAAGUGUACUCUCAAUGGCAGGGUAAUAACAACAGAGCAGACCCACCAAGGCUGGAAACUGAACAGUACUGGAAGGGUAUAUGGGAAAGGGAGGCAUCACACAACAGUGAUGCACAGUGGCUGGUGGAUCUGAGGGAAGACCACAGGAACCUCCCUGAACAGAAUCCAGUGACUAUCACAGUGGCAGACAUCCAACAUAGAGUCUCAGGUAUGAAAAACUGGACAGCACCUGGCCCUGACAUGAUCCACGCCUACUGGCUAAAGAAGCUCACUGCAAUCCAUGAGCGCCUGGCAGCACAAAUGAACCAGCUGCUAAGGGAUGGGACUCACCCUGAAUGGCUAACCGAAGGGCGAACAAUCCUGAUAAUGAAGGAAACCCCUUAA
ensembl:lncRNA